rnacentral:ncRNA from 1 species
AUCUUCAGGGCAGGGCUAAUUUCCCUACCGGCGGUGAAGCCCGCGAGCGAAAGCUGAUUUGGUUAAAUUCCAAAGCCGACAGUAAAGUCUGGAUGAGAGAAGAUA